GACAUAGGUGGCAAACGUUAUCCGGAAUUAUUGGGCGUAAAGGGAGCGUAGGUGGUCUUAUAAGUCAGUGGUGAAAUCUCUGGGCUUAACCCAGAAAUUGCCAUUGAUACUGUAGGACUUGAGUAUAGUUGCCGUUGGCGGAAUAUGACAUGUAGUGGUGAAAUACAUAGAGAUGUCAUAGAACACCGAUUGCGAAGGCAGCUAACGAAACUAUAACUGACACUGAGGCUCGAAAGUGCGGGGAUCAAACAGG
rnacentral:rRNA from 1 species